AUGAUGAAAAUGAUGUUUUCUAACAGGCACCGGGAUAACUCCAGUUAACUCCAGAGAUAACAGCCAGUUUGAAGAACAGAGAAUACAAGAAGGAGAGGUGGGGCUUCUAUCUUAUGCUGCACUAAACUUCAGACAAUACAAGAGAAGUAGAAAGAACAGACAAAAGGAAGACCAAACUUUGUAUGCACAGAUUAAACAAGGGACUGAUGCUAAUCUGAUUUACGUGUCUCUGGAUAUGACCGAUUUACCAAAAACAGCAACAAGGAAAGAGACAGCAAAAAUGAAGAUAAACAAACCAAACAUAGAAUCCAGGAUUGCAUAACAAACUGUCCCAUUUUCUCUGGGUCAAGCCAUCUUCUUGAACAGACAUUACAUAGAACAUAGAAAAGUACAGCACAGAACAGGCCCUUUGGCCCACGAUAUUGUGCCAAGGAUUAAUCCU